CCUACGGUAGGCUGCAGUGGGGAUUUUUGGGCAAUGGGCGCAAGCCUGACCCAGCAACGCCGCGUGAAGGAAGAAGGCUUUCGGGUUGUAAACUUCUUUUCUCAGGGACGAAGCAAGUGACGGUACCUGAGGAAUAAGCCACGGCUAACUUCGUGCCAGCAGCCGCGGUAAUCCGUAGGUGGCAAGCGUUCUCCGGAUUUACUGGGUUUAAAGGGCGUGUAGGCGGGGACGUAAGUCAGAUGUGAAAAUCACGGGCUCAACCUGUGGCCUGCAUUUGAAACUGUGUUUCUUGAGUACUGGAGAGGCAGGCGGAAUGCCUAGUGUAGCGGUGAAAUGCGUAGAUAUUAGGAGGAACACCAGGGGCGAAGGCGGUCUGCUGGACAGCAACUGACGCUGAGGCGCGAAAGCGUGGGGAGCGAACAGGAUUAGAUACCCGAGUAGUC
rnacentral:rRNA from 1 species